rnacentral:tRNA from 1 species
GCGGUAGUGGUGUAAUGGUUAGCAUGGAAGCCUGUGGAGCUUCAGGAGCGAGUUCAAUUCUCGCCUAUCGCCCCA